rnacentral:lncRNA from 1 species
GCACCUGGAACUCUGGCCUAAGGCUCUCUGACUGACUUCUUCCCAGAUCUUCUCAGCUUAGUGGCUGAAGACUGACACUGCCCGAUCGCCUUGGAAGCCUACAGGACCAUCACAGACGCUUUGGGUGACUUACAGUGGAGGGAAGACAGGAAUGUCAGGCCUCUGAGCCCAAGCUAAGUCAUCAUAUCCCCUGUGACCUGCACGUAUACAUCCAGAUGGCCUGAAGCAACUGAGGAUUCACAAAAGAAGUGAAAAUGGCCUUAAUUGAUGACAUUCCACCAUUGUGAUUUGUUCCUGCCUCACCCUAACUGAUAAGAUAUAGUCUCCCCCCGCCCUUAAAAAGGUACUUUGUAAUAUUCUCCCCCGC